UCGGCCGCCAUUUUGUUUUGUCUGCUAGAGGUGACAAUAAUCAGGGAAUCAUUGUUAUGAAUUCUUGAAGGGUGACCCGGUCUGCCUCAAAGCUGUCCGAGGACUGGGCUGUGGAUACUGCUACCGGCAGGUGAUUCCAGAGUCGGAUGGCUGCCUUCAAGAAGGUGUCAGAUCGCGAUCACGUAAAAGACGAUUUUAGUAUCCAAGUAUGGCUUCAUCAACCAAAGCGACGUAGGACAUCCCAGACAUCUACUGCAACGGAUUCGCACUGGGUUCUUACGUGUAUCCGUCCAAUGAGUUGCAGGCCAAUGUAUCACAAUUUACACGUCCACAUUGUGAACCUUUAGAUAGGUCAAAAAACAACUUUCGGUGAAGUGGGCAGACGUGAAAUGGUUUAGGUUCGAUUAUGUUUCUAUCAAAAAGAACAACGACAGAGAUGUGAACUGUAAAGAAAACAGCAAUGAUUUGACUAUCACCGGGUGUACUUAAACCCACGUUAUCUGGAUAAUGAGUAAUGUGAGUUAUAAGUAACACACCCUUCAAGCUAAUUCGUGUUAAUGUCAAUUUUAUCUUUUCAUUUCAAAUAUAUAUGACACAUUAUUCACUUGCAGGACAAAUUCAUUUAAUUUGCCAAAAAGACGACGCGAAAAAGCAGAGGAAAUCGAAGAGAUCAGACGUAUCAAAGCCUUCUGACGUGCCGAGAGGGUGUCACCCCGUGCGCUUACACCAUAAGUGCGACGAAUCUAAACUUUUGCCUUCCAGAAGACUUGUUAUUGAACUACAGAAUCUUGAUUAUAAAAUGAACAGUACUUGAGCUAUGUAUGGAACUUAACAUUAAAUAUGUUGAAAAACUGUUUUUUAUUUCUGAUCUAUAUAUGUAUAUGAAUGUUCCAAAUUUUAAAGGGCGUCCUGACGCAAUACAAUAUUUAAUUUCAGGAAUUAUUCAAUGCAUUUAAAUUAGUUAGUGAAUGAUCGCUUAAAACACAAACCUCUUUUUAAAGAGUCUUUGAAAACAUGUAUUUAAGCAUUGAGGCAAACGUUAUAUUUACUUUUGUCUUUAAGAUUACAUCAAUAAUGUAUUAUCUCUAGUA